UUUGACCAAAGACAAGCGAUUCGCUCAACAUGGGGAAAAUGUCAUGGUGAAAAUGUAAGAGUUGUCUUCCUUCUCGGAUAUUCUGUCGAGUUAAAUGAACAUACAAGGAACGAAUAUGCUGAAUACAAGGAUAUAGUCCAAGGUUCAUUUAAUGAUGUAUACAGGAAUAAUAUAUAUAAAACAUUGAUGGCAUAUGAUUGGGUUAUGUCGAACUGUUCAAAUAGUCAGUUUGUCUUUUUUGUUGACGACGAUUAUUUUGUAACCAUACCAAACCUCUUACAAUUCGCCCGUGAAAACAAAAUGGACGGCAAAGAUGUAAUGUUUGGACAUAAGCAGUGUAAUCCCCAAAAUCCCGUGAGAUCAAAAUCAUCAAAGUAUAGAAAAUGGUACAUAUCAGAGGAAGAAUAUCAGCCACCUAUUUUACCGCCGUUUCUUUCAGGUGGAUCUGUUCUUACGCACAUAACUGUAGUACGGAAAUUGAGAAUAGCAUUUCCUUAUAUGAAACCAAUAUUUCUUGACGAUGUGUAUGUGUCAUUAGUUGCACAGAAAUUAGAUAUAAAGAUAUUACACGAUGAAAGAUUCGUCAACUCUAAUUUAAGGAGAAUGGACUUUAACUUUAUAAUAUCAUGUCACAGUUAUAAUAGUACAGAAUAUUUAUACGAAGCGUGGUUGCAAUUCAAAGCAGUAAAUAAUUUGCAUUGUAACCAGUAAUCCACACGUUGAUUUGUGUAGAAGUCAUCCGUUAUAUUGAGGUUAAAAUUGACUUAUUAUUUUUCAGUCUUCAAAAGAGUCACCCAUGUGCAUGUGAAAUUAGAGGUUGAUUUUUACCUAAAUUGACACGGUAUUGUCACCAUCGCGAUGUAUACUAUAUAUAAACAAUAAUAUCUGGUAUGAGUGUCAACUCCCCAUCCAUGUCCCAUUGUAUGAAAAGUUAACCAAUGAUAGUCAGAGUAUAAUAGCCUUUAUCACUGAGCUUUGAUUCACAUCGAACAGCAAGUUAUAAAGUGACACAAAAAGACUAGUGUAAAACAAUUCAAACAGAAAACCAAUGGUCUAAUCUAUAUAAAAGCGUGAAACUGGAAAAGACUAUGAACCACACCAACAACUAAACGACAACGACUGAAAAACAGGCUCCUGACUUAUGAAUGUACAUACAAAUACAGCAGGUUUAAACGUUUUAAUAGACACAACCUUCACCCUAACCUGUAACAGUAGUGACACAUUACAACAUAAAAAGACAAUUGUAAAAUAUCAAUGUAUGGAUACGAUACAAAACAACAUAACAAUUACUAGAACUGUUAUAUAUUGUUGAGCUCGUUAUCAUCGGAAUGUAUACAAUGUAGUAGCGUUAUAAUGUUCACAUCACGAUGUUGACGAUGUGAGCGAUAUUAACACAAAAGUAUUGACUUUGUAUACAAUAUCAACGAUAUUGACACUCAAUUGUAAGCAUCGGAGGUAUACAACGUGAAGAAUGUGAAACACAAAUGCAUUGAC
rnacentral:lncRNA from 1 species